rnacentral:misc_RNA from 1 species
CCAAACAAAAAUUUAUUUACAAAAUCGAAUUAUUGAACCAAUGAUUGAUUUCAGUAGGCAGUUAAGCCCUUUCACUACUUCCUACCUUACAUCUUCAAACUGUAACUUAUAUAAUGUUACUGUAACUUUGUUUUGGUGCGUAAUUGCUCUUUUCUUUUGCUACGCAUUGUCGUUUUGCGUAUGGGGCCAUUGGUAUGGAUUAGCCACGACCAAGGUUCAAGGUGUGAAUUGUUGGUGUCCUUGGCGAGGCGGUCACGAGCGGUCCCGGAUGCUUCUGGAGUGACCACGUGGCGAGACAUUUUGCUCAACGUUCCCGGUUCUGUUGUUGCCGAACCUGUGGCGACGCUUGUUUACGACGCCUGAAAUCGUGGGGAGCUGCGUGAGCCUAACCACGUGGUGCAAGGCGGUUCUACGGGCGAUGCUACGUGGUUCUUCGGAGCAUGAUCGGCUGAGUGACCUUUUUGACCUCCAAACAUGUGCCAGGAAUAAGUCGAACCUUAGAUAGCUAUGCUAUAGUUUUUUUUUUUAUUACGAGUUUUUAUGUACAUAAUUUUUUUUAUUUUAAUAUUAAAAAAUUGUCAUCUUUUAUUAAACUUGGCAAUAAAUUAAUUUUAAUCUGUUAUCUUUUUAAUA